rnacentral:rRNA from 1 species
GACAGAGGGUGCAAACGUUGCUCGGAAUCACUGGGCGUAAAGGGCGUGUAGGCGGGAAGGAAAGUCAGAUGUGAAAUCCCUGGGCUCAACCCAGGAACUGCAUUUGAAACUCCCUUUCUUGAGUGUCGGAGAGGAAAGCGGAAUUCCUGGUGUAGAGGUGAAAUUCGUAGAUAUCAGGAGGAACACCGGUGGCGAAGGCGGCUUUCUGGACGACAACUGACGCUGAGACGCGAAAAGCGUGGGGAGGCAAACACGG